GAUGAACGCUGGCGGCGUGCCUAAUACAUGCAAGUUGAGCGCUGAAGGUAGGUACUUGUACCAACUGGAUGAGCAGCGAACGGGUGAGUAACGCGUGGGGAACCUGCCUUUGAGCGGGGGACAACAUCUGGAAACGAAUGCUAAUACCGCAUAAAAACUUUAAACACAAGUUUCAAGAUUGAAAGAUGCAAUUGCAUCCCUCAAAGGUGAUCCCGCGUUCUAUUAGCUAGUUUGUGAGGUAAACGCCUUACAAAGCGAAGAUUGCUAACCGACCGGAGAAGGUGGUCGGGCACCAUUGGAAUUAGAAACGGCCCAAAAUCCUACGGGGGGCAGCAAGUGGGGAUCUUAGCGAAUUGACGGAAGUCUAACCGAACCACGCCGCGUGGGGGAAGGAGGUUUUCGGAUCGGAAAACUCUUGUGGUAGAGAAGAACGAUAUUUGGAGGGAAAAGCGCAUGAAGUGACGGUAACUACUCAGAAAGAGACGGCUAACUACGUG
rnacentral:rRNA from 1 species